rnacentral:lncRNA from 1 species
GCUUGGGACUGGUUGAUUCUUGCUAUAGUGUCAGAAUCGAAUGUAGCCUUCCAUUCCGAGGCGAGGCCGCCCCACACAAAAAAAAAUGAGAGUUUCAUAGAAAAAAUGGGGCGGGGAAGGGAGAGAGGGCAAGCGGGCUCCCUUCGCUUUCUAACAGCCUAUUCUGUUAAACAAUUUAUAAAACCGACUUUAGGAAAGUAAAAGCUAGAAAACA